rnacentral:rRNA from 1 species
AGCGAACGCUGGCGGCAGGCCUAGCACAUGCAAGUCGAACGAACUCUUCGGAGUUAGUGGCGGACGGGUGAGUAACACGUGGGAACGUGCCUUUUGGUUCGGAAUAACUCAGGGAAACUUGUGCUAAUACCGAAUGUGCCCUUCGGGGGAAAGAUUUAUCGCCAUUAGAGCGGCCCGCGUCUGAUUAGCUAGUUGGUGAGGUAACGGCUCACCAAGGCGACGAUCAGUAGCUGGUCUGAGAGGAUGACCAGCCACACUGGGACUGAGACACGGCCCAGACUCCUACGGGAGGCAGCAGUGGGGAAUCUUGCGCAAUGGGCGAAAGCCUGACGCAGCCAUGCCGCGUGAAUGAUGAAGGUCUUAGGAUUGUAAAAUUCUUUCACCGGGGACGAUAAUGACGGUACCCGGAGAAGAAGCCCCGGCUAACUUCGU